rnacentral:rRNA from 1 species
GUGGGGAGUAUUGGACAAUGGGGGAAACCCUGAUCCAGCCAUGCCGCGUGAGUGAAGAAGGCCUUAGGGUUGUAAAGCUCUUUCGCACGCGACGAUGAUGACGGUAGCGUGAGAAGAAGCCCCGGCUAACUUCGUGCCAGCAGCCGCGGUAAUACGAAGGGGGCAAGCGUUGUUCGGAUUUACUGGGCGUAAAGGGCGCGUAGGCGGAACGACAAGUCAGAGGUGAAAGCCCUGGGCUCAACCCGGGAAUUGCCUUUGGGACUGCCGUUCUAGAGUUCGGAAGAGGAUGGCGGAAUACCCAGUGUAGAGGUGAAAUUCGUAGAUAUUGGGUAGAACACCGGUGGCGAAGGCGGCCAUCUGGUCCGACACUGACGCUGAGGCGCGAAAGCGUGGGGAGCAAACAGGAUUAGAUACCCUUGUAGUCC